rnacentral:rRNA from 1 species
UGUAUAAUGGGUCAGCGACUUAUAUUCUGUAGCAAGGUUAACCGAAUAGGGGAGCCGAAGGGAAACCGAGUCUUAACUGGGCGUUAAGUUGCAGGGUAUAGACCCGAAACCCGGUGAUCUAGCCAUGGGCAGGUUGAAGGUUGGGUAACACUAACUGGAGGACCGAACCGACUAAUGUUGAAAAAUUAGCGGAUGACUUGUGGCUGGGGGUGAAAGGCCAAUCAAACCGGGAGAUAGCUGGUUCUCCCCGAAAGCUAUUUAGGUAGCGCCUCGUGAAUUCAUCUCCGGGGGUAGAGCACUGUUUCGGCAAGGGGGUCAUCCCGACUUACCAACCCGAUGCAAACUGCGAAUACCGGAGAAUGUUAUCACGGGAGACACACGGCGGGUGCUAACGUCCGUCGUGAAGAGGGAAACAACCCAGACCGCCAGCUAAGGUCCCAAAGUCAUGGUUAAGUGGGAAACGAUGUGGGAAGGCCCAGACAGCCAGGAUGUUGGCUUAGAAGCAGCCAUCAUUUAAAGAAAGCGUAAUAGCUCACUGGUCGAGUCGGCCUGCGCGGAAGAUGUAACGGGGCUAAACCAUGCACCGAAGCUGCGGCAGCGACGCUUAUGCGUUGUUGGGUAGGGGAGCGUUCUGUAAGCCUGUGAAGGUGUGCUGUGAGGCAUGCUGGAGGUAUCAGAAGUGCGAAUGCUGACAUAAGUAACGAUAAAGCGGGUGAAAAGCCCGCUCGCCGGAAGACCAAGGGUUCCUGUCCAACGUUAAUCGGGGCAGGGUGAGUCGACCCCUAAGGCGAGGCCGAAAGGCGUAGUCGAUGGGAAACAGGUUAAUAUUCCUGUACUUGGUGUUACUGCGAAGGGGGGACGGAGAAGGCUAUGUUGGCCGGGCGACGGUUGUCCCGGUUUAAGCGUGUAGGCUGGUUUUCCAGGCAAAUCCGGAAAAUCAAGGCUGAGGCGUGAUGACGAGGCACUACGGUGCUGAAGCAACAAAUGCCCUGCUUCCAGGAAAAGCCUCUAAGCAUCAGGUAACAUCAAAUCGUACCCCAAACCGACACAGGUGGUCAGGUAGAGAAUACCAAGGCGCUUGAGAGAACUCGGGUGAAGGAACUAGGCAAAAUGGUGCCGUAACUUCGGGAGAA